UGGGGAAUAUUGGACAAUGGGCGAAAGCCUGAUCCAGCCAUGCCGCGUGUGUGAAGAAGGUCUUCGGAUUGUAAAGCACUUUAAGUUGGGAGGAAGGGCAGUAAGCGAAUACCUUGCUGUUUUGACGUUACCGACAGAAUAAGCACCGGCUAACUCUGUGCCAGCAGCCGCGGUAAUACAGAGGGUGCAAGCGUUAAUCGGAAUUACUGGGCGUAAAGCGCGCGUAGGUGGUUCGUUAAGUUGAAUGUGAAAGCCCCGGGCUCAACCUGGGAACUGCAUCCAAAACUGGCGAGCUAGAGUAGGGCAGAGGGUGGUUGAAUUUCCUGUGUAGCGGUGAAAUGCGUAGAUAUAGGAAGGAACACCAGUGGCGAAGGCGACCACCUGGGCUCAUACUGACACUGAGGUGCGAAAGCGUGGGGAGCAGACAGG
rnacentral:rRNA from 1 species